UGGGGAAUAUUGCACAAUGGACGGAAGUUUGAUGCAGCGACGCCGCGUGGAGGGUGUAGGCCUGCGGGUUGUGAACGCCUUUUUCUCGCGAAAAAGGCACAGUUUUGGCGGUGUUGAUGGUAGUGGGGGAAGAAGCGCCGGCUAACUACGUGCCAGCAGCCGCGGUAAUACGUAGGGCGCGAGCGUUGUCCGGAUUUAUUGGGCGUAAAGAGCUCGUAGGUGGUUCGUCGCGUCUGUCGUGAAAGCCAGCAGCUUAACUGUUGGUCUGCGGUGGGUACGGGCGGGCUUGAGUGCGGUAGGGGUGACUGGAAUUCCUGGUGUAGCGGUGGAAUGCGCAGAUAUCAGGAGGAACACCGAUGGCGAAGGCAGGUCACUGGGCCGUUACUGACACUGAGGAGCGAAAGCGUGGGGAGCGAACAGG
rnacentral:rRNA from 1 species